UCCUUGGAGAACUAGUGGUUAGGCCUCAGUGCUCUCGCCGCUGCAGCCCGGGUUCGAUUCCCCGCCAGGGAA